rnacentral:tRNA from 1 species
GCUCUGGUAGCUUAUAAAAAGCUUUAGGCUUUUAACCUAAAGAAGUAGUCGUAUACCCAGAGCU